AUACGGAGGGUGCAAGCGUUAUUCGGAAUCACUGGGCGUAAAGGACGCGUAGGCGGGUUGGCAAGUCAGAUGUGAAAUCCUACAGCUUAACUGUAGAACUGCAUUUGAAACUGCUAACCUAGAGUAUGGGAGGGGGAGAUGGAAUUAGUGGUGUAGGGGUAAAAUCCGUAGAUAUCACUAGGAAUACCGAAAGCGAAGGCGAUCUCCUGGAACAUAACUGACGCUAAGGCGUGAAAGCGUGGGGAGCAAACAGAAUUAGAAACCCCAGUAGUCC
rnacentral:rRNA from 1 species